rnacentral:ncRNA from 2 species
UAAGCAAGCUAGGGGUGCCUGAGUCGUCAGGCUGAGAUUUACACCCUUAGAACCUGAGACCGGCUAGUACCGGCGAAGGGAAGCUGUUUAUCGAGGAA